GUGUCUUUAAAGCAGUGUUGCAAGUUACAGUGUGGUAUUCGCUUUUCUUCACGCAUUUCAAUCGCGUACAGCUGUGUAAACAAUAUACGCGUCAUAUAGCGCAAAAGAUUCUAACGGGCACCAGAUUAGCGAAAUUAAAGAUAACCUUUAGAGACAAAUAUAUAAACACAAGAUAUUUACAAUAUAAUUCUUAUAUAUAACGACUUUACCGGACCAUUUUCACCGCGCUUACGUGAAAAAAGUGGCACCACUAACAAUACUGCUUUAAAAUCUCGGUAUCGUAGGAGUCUUGAAAUCCAGUGUUAUACAAAUAAUACGUGCAAUUACGCGCGACAUAGCAUCUACAAGAGCAGAUCUCAUCAAGAAAAAAAGAGGGAUUGUGACAGUUAUCUCGCACGAUAAAGAUCAUUAUGGAUUACACCAAGUUCUUCUCUAAAGCGACCAACAGACGACGACCGAACUUAAUUAGACAGUUGAGUAAGUAAUCAUUGCCUUCAUAAUUUUUAUUCAUUAUGCAUUUCGUCAUUCAGUAUCGCAAACAAACAUCUAAAAAUAUUCUUAUAUUAUGGCAAUUUAUUUUUUACCUUUGAAUAAAACAACUGAAAAUAAGAAACAGGUUUUUUUUAUAAUUAUUUUUUUUACGUAUUUAUUGAAGUAAUCUCUCACAGCUAACUAAAAAUGUUCAUUAAGCUAAAUCGUGAGAAUAUAGAAAAAUAUUUUACACAAAAAUUUCGUGAUACACGUUAUAACUGCAUAUUUAAAGUUUUUUAAAAUAUUAUAUAUUACAAUAUAUUUAUUAUAUCUCCGAAUUUUGAAAUAUUCAAUAGAAAUAUUAAUUUACAUCAUGUGUUGCCAUGGUUGUGAACAAUAUACAUA